rnacentral:rRNA from 1 species
AUGGCCGACGGCGCGCUGCUCGACCUGCUGCCCCAGAUCCACGCCCUCUUCUCCGACCAGCUCCGCGUGAUUUCGUACAAAUGGCUAAGCCGGAAUUUUUCCGUGUCAUCAGAUGACGCCAAGAGGCUGCUUCAGGAGUUUGUCAACAAACAUGGAACUGAUCACGAAGUUAUUUACAGUGUGUCUGGGUGGUUAAAGAACAAUCCUCAAAAUUAUUGUGUAAAACUCACUUCAGGCCCUAAACUUGAAGAAGCAAGGCGGGCAUUUAAGGAUUCUUGUUCAGUUCAGGUUUACAGCAUACAGGCUUGUAUUCCAAAAGACACUGCUGUACUUUGGAAUCCUGAAUUUGUGCAGGCAGAGGAGCUUUUCAACCAGCCAUUUGAUGAAGAAAAUUGUUUGAGAGAUAAUAGGUUUUGUGGUGUAAGGAAUUCUUUUGUCAAGCGAACUACCACAGGGAAGCAUGUGAACUCAAUGCCCCCAAAGCCUACAAAUAGUGUUGUAGCACCUGCAGUGGCAAAACCUAGUAGUGCUCCAAAAGAACAAUCUUCUAUUGUUCGACAGCAAGAUCUACCUGGACCAUCCGAUCCAGUGAAAGGAACGAGCAUUAAAGCUGAAAAGGAUAAUGCCUCGGUCUUGGAUAAAACUGUUAAUGCUCCGGCUGUCAAAGAGCCAUCAGUCGCUGUGCAUGCAAAUAAAACCAAAGCUCAGAACGGGAAGACCCUGCCCAGUAAUGGUGCAUCCCUGGCUACCAUGUGGGGUCGUGCAUCAGCAAAACCCAAGGCUCCAGCUGUCACUAAAGCUACAGAUCUACCAAGUGUUGCUGUUACAGCCGAUGCACAGAUAUGUGCAAAAGAAGAAGCAGACGCUGAUAGCAGCGAUGAUGAAAAAGGUGCACACUACAAGCGGGCCUCUAAUGGUGCAAGCAACAGAAAGAGAAGAGCGAUCUUUGAUUGUUCAGACGAUGACGAUGAUGACGAUUUUGUAGCCAUUGCAUCUCCAGAGCCACCAAAACAGUGUGCCAGAAAUCCUGUCACUGAAGCUGCACAAGACAAUAUAUCAGAACAGAAGAAAGUGGAAAGCAAACAGGAUACAACGAGCGAUGUGAAAGGCUUCACAAAAAGGAUCGAUUCUGACCUUACCUCUGAAUGUAAAACCAGAAGUGACAGUGCUACCAAUGGUUCUGGGAUUACCUUAAAAGAAAAGGCCAAAGAUUCACCAAACAAGAAGGAUCAGGCUGCUGAGACAACUUCCACCUCACCUAAAAGAAGGAAGGUUUUGAAGACACGUAUAGAUGAGCGGGGCAGAGAAGUAACUGAGGUUGUCUGGGAGGGCGAAGCUCCUGCAAGUGACAAGGCAGAGAAAAAUGUUACCAAUACUGAUGCCACUAACAGGCCAACUCUUCCAAGCAAGCCACAGCCAGCAGCUAACACUGACAGGAACAAUGCUCCAAGUAAAACAGCAGGCGGCAAGAAACCUGCCAAGGCUGCCCCCAAGCAAGGAAAGAACAUAAUGUCAUUCUUCAAGAAGGUAUAA